GAAGGGGGCUAGCGUUGUUCGGAAUUACUGGGCGUAAAGCGUGCGUAGGUGGUGAGUUAAGUCUGUCGUGAAAGCCCCGGGCUCAACCUGGGAAUGGCGAUGGAUACUGGCUCGCUAGAGUGCGGUAGAGGAGAGUGGAAUUCCCGGUGUAGCAGUGAAAUGCGUAGAGAUCGGGAGGAACAUCAGUUGCGAAGGCGGCUCUCUGGACCAGCACUGACACUGAGGCACGAAAGCGUGGGGAGCAAACAGGAUUAGAUACCCUGGUAGUCCACGCCCUAAACGAUGCGAACUGGACGUUGGGAGCAAUUAGGCUCUCAGUGUCGAAGCUAACGCGUUAAGUUCGCCGCCUGGGGAGUACGGUCGCAAGACUG
rnacentral:rRNA from 1 species